UACGUAGGGGGCUAGCGUUGUCCGGAAUCAUUGGGCGUAAAGCGCGCGUAGGCGGCCCGGUAAGUCCGCUGUGAAAGUCAAAGGCUCAACCUUUGAAUGCCGAUGGAUACUGUCGAGCUAGAGUCCGGAAGAGGCGAGUGGAAUUCCUGGUGUAGCGGUGGAAUGCGCAGAUAUCAGGAGGAACACCAAUAGCGAAGGCAGCUCGCUGGGACGGUACUGACGCUAAGGCGCGAAAGCGUGGGGAGCGAACAGG
rnacentral:rRNA from 1 species